rnacentral:lncRNA from 1 species
AUACGCAACCAAUUCACUUAAAGCGUACAGAAACAGCGCCACGGGUCUCGAUUAUGACUCGGCCCACCUGGCCUAACGCCACUUUGAACAUGACUCGGCCCAACCCAGCCUCAACGCCAUUUCGAACAUGACUCGGCCCACAUGGCCUCCCGCCACAGGGCAGGAUGCUGGCCCAUUUAAGCCAACAAUCCCCCCUCCAGCACCUGGACACAUUUGCAGCAUGCAGGAAUCGAACCCCUAACCUCUGGCUCUGAUACCAUUUGUCGGAUCGUUGGCGCUAAACAUUAAUCCCAAAAGCUCGAGCUGUUAGAAAUACGCAACCAAUUCACUUAAAGCGUACAAAAACAGCGCCCACGGGUCUCGAUUGUGACUCGGCCUACCUGGCCUCACACCACUUCGAACAUGACUCGACCCAAUCCAGCCUCACGCCAUUUCGAACAUGACUCGGCCCACAUGGCCUCCCGCCACAGGGCAGAAUGCUGGCCCAUUUAAGCCAACACUUUACUCUUUGGCAUGGAAUUCUAAUCACUUUGGUGAAGCACAACCCACCUUCGGUGAAGUACAACCCACCUAAGAGUUAUGGACAACUCUUAGGCUUUGCACUUAUGAGUGCUCAUUACUAUACAAUAAUGGAUGGUUUAGUGGGCAAGUUAUGAUAGGCUAGAUUCAUUGUAUCUUAGGCCUAUAAAUUAUAAAAAUAGUUAAGGCCAAGACACAAGGGGGAGUGUA